GUGGGUGUAGCUCAGUGGUAGAGAGCAUGCUUAGCAUGAAGAAGGUCCUGGGUUCAAUCCCCAAUACCUCCA
rnacentral:tRNA from 1 species